UACGUAGGGUGCAAGCGUUGUCCGGAAUUAUUGGGCGUAAAGAGCUCGUAGGCGGUCUGUCACGUCGGCUGUGAAAACCCGGGGCUCAACCCCGGGCCUGCAGUCGAUACGGGCAGGCUAGAGUUCGGUAGGGGAGACUGGAAUUCCUGGUGUAGCGGUGAAAUGCGCAGAUAUCAGGAGGAACACCGGUGGCGAAGGCGGGUCUCUGGGCCGAUACUGACACUGAGGAGCGAAAGCGUGGGGAGCGAACAGG
rnacentral:rRNA from 1 species